AUCACAUCUCUAUACCUGAAACUGAGGUUAAUUUACAGAGAUAUUUUUUUGAUACAAGUUCGUGCUUGGAUGAUAAAUAAAUGACAGGAAAUUCUACCUCACCAUAAUAACUAUCAUAUUGUAGUGAUACAAAUCGGUAUACCUUGGGCUGUUAUACUAAUAUAAUAAUAGUCCAAGAGAAUACACUGGUUUGUUGUUAUACAUUAUAUUAAUAUUCCGGUUGCAUGUAUCAUCUAUUUAUAUAAUAUGAGGCAGGCCUGUGAAUGGAGACGAAGUCUGUAUGAAUUAUUUUAUUUUGUAACUUACAUACCGGGGUAAUUUAAAAAAAAAAGAAAAAGAAAUAACUUAACGUUUCCGAUUUUGGUUCUGUUGUUAGAGAUUUUACUUGGCACGUUAUUUAAGUUAUGACGUCAUGUUCAAUGUAAACAAAGAAACACAAUGCAUCAGGUAACGUUAAUUCAGUAUAAUCAAAGACAAAGAAUUAUUAAAAAUGAAAUAUUGGUAUGGUGUUCCUUGAGUUCCUAUAUUAUACUAGACUACUAAAAGUCUCACAACAACGAGACCAGAAGAAGGAAGUAGAUUUCUGCGUUCUGCACAAAUGCAGGAAUAAAAAAAAGCAACAAAAAAAAUGUAUGCAUGAUGGAAAUUUAGGCCAUAGCAAGACAUUGGAGUGACCUCAAGGUCAUCCUCUGUAAAAAUAUAUGCCCUGGGGGUUACUUGUCACAGUAUUAAGGGGAGAUAAUCAAUCCAAAUGACUUCAUAGGGGGUGAACAAUAAAGAUUUGUUUUCUACUGUCAGGUUUGAGGUAAUGGUAGGUUAUACUUUGUGUAUGUUGUAUUAAGGGGAGAUAAUCAAUCCAAUUGACUUCAUGGGGGGUG
rnacentral:lncRNA from 1 species